rnacentral:rRNA from 1 species
AGUGAACGCUGGCGGCAGGCCUAAUACAUGCAAGUCGAACGGCAGCACAGCAGAGCUUGCUCUGUGGGUGGCGAGUGGCGGACGGGUGAGGAAUACGUGGGAAUCUGCCCAGUCGUGGGGGAUAACGUAGGGAAACUUACGCUAAUACCGCAUGCGCCCUUCGGGGAAAGCCGGGGACCUUCGGGCCUGGCGCGAUUGGAUGAGCCCACGUCGGAUUAGCUAGUUGGCGGGGUAAAGGCCCACCAAGGCGACGAUCCGUAGCUGGUCUGAGAGGAUGAUCAGCCACACUGGAACUGAGACACGGUCCAGACUCCUACGGGAGGCAGCAGUAGGGAAUAUUGGACAAUGGGCGCAAGCCUGAUCCAGCCAUGCCGCGUGAGUGAAGAAGGCCCUCGGGUUGUAAAGCUCUUUGUCCGGU